rnacentral:lncRNA from 1 species
UUUUUUUUUUUUUUACAGUCAUUUGUACAAUUUGUUACAAAACCAUAGAAGACUACAACUUGUUUGAAAUCAUUUUUGGUCGGCAAAUAUGUAAAAUCUGUGUGCAAUUAUCAUGUAUUUACAGGGCCUCGUGUUAGUCAUUUUCAAUGAUUAUUCCAACAAUGUCACGCUCUCAACAUAAGACAUGGCUUAAGAUAAAUAUAUUAGUAAAUAAAUAUUCUGAGAACAUAUUUCCAUAAAUGAAAUGUGCUGCUAUACAUAUACAGAAUAUACAUAAGUUGUUUUCUAGCCUUUAAAACAUUAAAAAAAAUGGUAAUGUUGGAGAAGGAGCCCUUAGACCAUUUUAUUACAAAAUCUUUACAGCAAAGUCUUUACAAAAUAUCUUUUAAGUGCUAUGGGAGAAAUAAAAAACAAAACAAAACAAAACAUUUUAAAAUAGUGUCGUUAGACCAACACAAUAGAGUCUAUAUAAAGAAUAGAAAAAGGCAGGUCUGUUUAAAAAAUAAUACUCAGAUUAGUAAUUAUUUUUUAGACCUCAUUUUAAAAGCAUUAGUCCUGCAUGAGCUUUGAGUAGAAACUAGCAGCACAUAAGGGAGGGUCUGAGUGGUGGGACAGCAGAUUGGGCUUUAUAAAAUGGCUUGGGUUCAAGAGAGGUGGGAGAGAUUGAGAGAGUCAGAGCCAGCAUAGAGAGGUACCUUGUUGAUCAGAAUUCCCAAACCCCCAUAUUUUUAACUGGUUCCAGUACUCUGCAGUUUACAUGGCUGUCCUAUACCCAGGGCUUGGCCAUGGGGACCAGGCCUAACAGUCACAAUCUGGCUUGGGGGUGGGCAGUGAUGGUGCAGAUUCUCAAUGGAAAAUGUGAUGCUCCCAGUUUCCAAGGCUAUAUGACCCCAACACACCACUGAGAGGCCACUGACAAAGGUCAUGAUUACUGGAGUCUUAAAAUCUUCAAAGAAGACAUUUCUUUUGAUUUAAAUGGUGAGGCAAUAAUAGAGUUGUUCCUAUAUUCUGGUGACCUCCCUGUCUGGUGAAUUUAAGACAAUGGCUGAUAUUCAAAAUUUUAACAUUUUCACUUUUCUGCUUCUACUGCCCUGUAAAGUACAAAAAUUAAAUGUUGUUUCUUUUUGCCAUCUGUAAUUAUUGCUCUUUCAAAUGAAAAUUGGACACAUUUAUUUUAAUAAGCCCCGUGGAAGCCACAUUAUCUACUCAUCUAUUUAUUGCUUAAGGCUAUUGAGGAGUAGUUUCCCAGACUGGGCUAAAGAAAGCCACUUUGAGGGUAUGGUUUCAGACAAAGGAGAUAAUGUGCACUCAAAGGCAUUAAAAACAAAACGACAAAAAACAAAAAUCUCAACAAUGAGAAGCUGCUUUUUGCAGUUCAUGUUAGAAGCCAUACCCCCCACCCCCUUCCCUAAAACCACGUAAUGCAAGCUGUUGUCCUCAGCAGCUGCUACUCCUGGCCUGAGAAAUAAAGGCAGCCCGGAUCACAUGUCAACAGCUUAGGCGCUUCUCACACCCUCGCCAACAGGUGUGCUGGGCAUAGGCCGGGGUGGGGGCGGGGGGCAGCAGCCCCCAAAGGACUAUACCUCAGAGGCUGGAGGACAAAUCUCACUGCAUUGAGUUCCUAAAUGGCAAAUGGCUUGAUCAUUUGAUGCUAGAAUUUCUUUCUGUCAAAGCCUGGCUAGAAGGCUAAAUGUCCUCAUCACGGGCUGGGUUUAAAAAAAAAAAAAAAAAAAAA